rnacentral:rRNA from 1 species
GCUCAGAUUGAACGCUGGCGGCAGGCCUAACACAUGCAAGUCGAGCGGUAGAGAGAAGCUUGCUUCUCUUGAGAGCGGCGGACGGGUGAGUAAUACCUAGGAAUCUGCCUGAUAGUGGGGGAUAACGUUCGGAAACGGACGCUAAUACCGCAUACGUCCUACGGGAGAAAGCAGGGGACCUUCGGGCCUUGCGCUAUCAGAUGAGCCUAGGUCGGAUUAGCUAGUUGGUGAGGUAAUGGCUCACCAAGGCUACGAUCCGUAACUGGUCUGAGAGGAUGAUCAGUCACACUGGAACUGAGACACGGUCCAGACUCCUACGGGAGGCAGCAGUGGGGAAUAUUGGACAAUGGGCGAAAGCCUGAUCCAGCCAUGCCGCGUGUGUGAAGAAGGUCUUCGGAUUGUAAA